rnacentral:lncRNA from 7 species
AUUAAUAGUAAUACAGAUAACGGGUCUGAAAGAAUUCUCUUCUGAAGAAGGAUUUGAUUUUUCAGGGUCCUGAUACCGGGAAGAAAUCCGGUUUCAUCCCCCUUUUGAUUUAAGCCUCCCCAGCAGCUUGUCGUCUGAAGCGCUCCCUCUCCCUCCGAUACCGAUACCCAUCCGUAGCCUCGCUCUGUGCAGGGAAAGUUGCACGGGGCCGCCCGCCCGAUGGAGCCGCGACUUCUCUGAGCGCUGCUGCCCCGAGGUAACAUUUACGUUAGCGCUGCUGAGCUGGUGUAAUGCAAGGAGGGACACAUCAUGAAAUGGAAACAUUAUCCUUUUUUGGUCAUAGUAGCUGCAUGCAGCCUUUCCAGAUGUCAUUACUUACUGGGUCAGCUUAUUCCAGUACUGUUGGAGGGGGGAAGAAUACAAAGUGCAGAAACUGAUUUGAAGAUCAAAGAGAAUAGGAAAUCUAUAGAGAACCUUCCUGAAGAAGGAAAACAGCAGGCCAUUGCAAACGGGAAGUAGCUGAAAUGCUGCAUCUUCGGUGAAAUUCUACAUGCUGGUAAUCAUGCCAGCGUCCAUAUGUGGAAAGUCUUGCUAACGUGGAGAGAGAGGUAAUAAGUGUGUUUGAAAAACAGCAAAAUGCUGUCCAGCUUGAAAGGGAAGGUGGUAAAAUAGGUAACUUAUGUCAUUCAGCUGCAGCAUGCAGUGGUUUUGUGGUUGAAGCAAAGUACAGGAAACAAAAUCUGUUUGUUUUUUUUUCUUUCUUUCUUUAGAAUAAAUCAGUAAAAAUGUCUUCUGCGUCAUUCUGAAUUAUUUUCAGUAUUUGUAAUGAAAAAAACAAAACAAACUUUGAUUGUUACUGCUAAUAAUGUACGCUCUUUCAGUAAAAUGUAGGAAGAACCAGUAGACAUAAAAUGAAAAUAUGAAAGUAACGUACUGAUUUUUUGGUGUGGUAUUUUUCUUUCCUGUUUUGUAUUUGGAUAGUAAUGUAAAGACUGUACUGCCUGGAUUUCUAACUUGAAUACACUGUGCAUACAGAUUUUUUUGCCUGUACAAUUCUUCAUAUAUACGAAAGCAACUAGCUCAAACAUAAACUACUCAAUGAAGAGAGAAAGGAAAAGAUUUUUCCUUCAAAGGUUUCUUUACCUAUAAUGAAUGGUGUGGCUCACAGAAUGUAAAUUAAGGAAGUGAAUUGAUAUUGUGUUUUUUUUUUCCUAUCUAAUUUUGUUGGAUUCAAAUGCAUUAUGUAGGAGAUGCAAAAAGACUCCAGAAUAAAGUAAGAUGCAAGUUAAAAUUAUCAUUUUAAAAGUUUGACCUCAGACUUCAAAAACCAUUUCAAAGCAAUUUACCUGUCAGAAAGACAUCUACCACUCUUUUUAAAAGGAAUGCCUGCAGAUCCAAAUGUAUUUUGCAUGAUAGCUACCUCCAACCACUUGCAUUGGUUUCAAUUUAGUCCUAGUUUUGUAGAUACUACUAAAAAGGCUGUUGGCAUUGUAUUACUUUUUCCAUCAAAUUAGUUUCAGAAUAAAAUCUCAGGCGGCAUUU